CUGAGCACGUCCCGCUGCCAACAAGUGGAGAUGAGAACUGCAGGCUUCAGAAGGCAGGGCUGAGGCCAAUCACAACUUCUGCAUCGCUGAAUGACACCAGGAGUCCUGCCUCUGUAACUUUUGUUAUUUUUCCCCUCAGCCUCCUUCAAUUGCUCCCAGCACUUGGUCACGGACUCAGACAGGCUACCAGAGACCACAGGCAGCUGCCACCACACUCCAACAGCCUGCAGCAGAGGUGGUGACAGCGUCAUGGAAGAUUAACAAGUAAGAAACUAAGAACAGGUUAACAGCUGAAGACAAUGAAAUUUGUGUGACUCUGCACUGCUUACCACUGAGCAAACAACCCAGAGGGCUGCUGCUAGCACAAGAGGGCAGACCAGCGCACGUUAUGGAUCUUGCUACCAACAGAGGUCUCAACCUGCUGCUCAAUUUCCUGCUCAUAGUCUUGGUUUUAGUACUCGCAUUCAUCCUUGUGAAGCUGAUGUGAAUAAUCCCUGGGAGGUUUCUUUUCAAAUCUUGUUCUGAGGGCUUGGGGUUCUUUUGCAAUGAUAACGUAAGGAGGUCAAUCUAUCUAACCAGAAAUACGACAAGACUGCAUAGAUUGAAGUAUCUGACAGAAAAAGUGUUCAGAGGGUUUUAUCAGAAGUGAACCUUAAAUCUACACACAAUUAUGUCAUGCCAUUGAGUAAGGAAAGCGCUGAGAGCCUUGUUGAGUACAGAAAGAAAUCCAAUUACGCAUAAAGAGUUACUUUAGUUUUAUAAAUGCUGCAGUCAACUUUCAUUUUAAGGACCAGCAAAAGAUCAGCAUCCUUCAAAAAACAAUUUCAGAUCUCCCGUGGAGUGCAAAAGUACAGAUGCUGGGGAUGGAAGAGGUUGCUGUGGUUUACAGCAACUGAGAUGUGGACAAGUUAAGUUUAAAUCUGAAAAUGUAAUUUUUAGGGACACUUUUUGACACCUGUGAUUCACAGCAACAUCUUAAAAGCCAGAAAGCAUUCAUGUUACACAUCAGUAACAGAAGCAGCAGCUGUUAGAUCUAUAACAAACAAAACAGAAAUCAAACCCAAACAAGGGCCACUAGCAAGCAAGGGUUAUCAUAUCCACGAAUCCCUUAGCACUGCUGCAUAUGUGAGCUGUCAGAGCCUCUGCAUAACAGCAAGAAGAGUGCUGCAUCCUCAACAAGUUCACCACUUAUGCACAGGUCAAGAGCGCUGCCUGGAGCCCUCAAGCUGUUUGACACUCCAUUUGUUGUAUGCGUACCACAGCAGCAUAGUUAGCCACCUAUAGCUCAUCCUCACAUCAAGUCUGCAAUGAAAGCUUCCCGUGGGACCUCCCUCUACAGCCCUUCACAGGAUGAUCUGCUUUCUCCAUGCUUGCUGGGAAAGGCAGUGACCAAGGAGAGCUCCUUUCUACUAGAAUAAUUUGCCUACCAGGCAACCCUAAGAUACACAGGGAGAGAAGGAAGCCACAAGCAGACUACAAACACCACACUGAGGCCAAGAAGUCUGCUCUUCAGCAUCUCUCUCUUCCCCCAACAAGUUGGGAACCAAACGUAACAACAUACCAGUAUCAUAUUGUAAAUUUAAUGCCACACACAUGCAAAAUGCUGGUGGUGCCCAGAGGUGAGGAAAACCCAAUUUCCAGCUCCUUUAUGACAGAAGAGUUCCCUGGACCAGCAGGUACGCUGUUGAUACCACAGGUGCCCCCAACAUUACAGAGCUGAUUCUACUCCAGCUCCACAUAGGAUUGCCACACUAUUACUGCUGUUGUGGCUGGUUCAGUCAUUUCAGUCAUUCAGUACAGAAGAGACUGUACUACAAAAAGAUCUACAAAAAGACUUAGCACAAAAGGAAGACAAUAUGCCAAUAGAAACAUGGUGUGCAGGCCCACCAUGACCAGGCUCCCAUGUUUCACACCACAUUAUCUCCUUCAGCAUCGAGACACCAUUAUGUGGGACAGCACUGACAGAGAAGUCAAAUAAAAGAUUUCUCUUGUGCUUUGAAAUGCAAUAAAAACUUAAAAAGAGCUUCUGCUUUUUUUUUUUUUUUUUUUUUUAUGUGAAUACAUAAUAUUUGUAUUCAAAGCAGGAAAUUUCACGCUGUAACCACUUUUUCACUUAUUUUGAUUAUCUUGAAACGUUCUGCUUUAAAAUCCGUAGAUUUAUGUACGUGGGAUUGACGUUGUAACAGUAAUACAGUUCCAUAUUAUUUAGAAGGAUUUCUGACAGUACAUGUAAUAGACAAGAUGAAAAAAAAAAAAAAAUCAUGAAAUUAAGAAACUGAUAUGAAGGCCACUCUAGUCUGAUGAAGAGUAAAAACUAGUUCUCAAGCAAAAUGGCCACCCUGAGUAUUUUAUGCCUAUUCUUCUGCAAAAACAAGAGCUCCCUUACCCUAUGGAAGUCACUGCGACAGCUGAACAGCUAAAAAGAGCUAAAUGAACUAGCAUUAAAAAAAAAUUAAAAAUCAAUUCCUUUCAUUCAAAAGGACAAAGUUGAGUGUAGUAACUUGACCUAUCACUUAUCUCCAGUUCUAAAGCUAUGCACAAAUUGCCAUUAGGAUGUAGCUACCCCAUGAAACAACACCAAACCUCCCAGACCGCAACGAAAAUCACAGAACCUUAAAUAAAUGUUGAAACACGCUGCUGAAACUGAACAUGCAUUCUCCUGGGAUGACGUACAAAAUUGGAAAAGCUAUCAGUCAUCCAUUGCCAAGCCUUUUUCUGUAAUCAGGCAUGGUCCAAGCUUGGUUUGCCACCAUCUGCUAGCACUUAGACUGAGCGCACGUAUUCACUGUGGGUUGAAUCCAUUUGUCAGCCUGCAACCAACUUCACAGCGAAAGAAACAGAGCAUAAAAGCUCACAGCAGUGAACUAAUUCUGUUAACUAUAAGUGAUGUUUGAAAUUUUUAUCCUGCUGGAAAGUAUGUUUUUCUCAAGUCAGAUUUUGAAAGCAUUUAUAAUGACUUCUUUCCUUCACUUUUCUGACCUGUCAGAAUCAUAAGGAAAAAUACUUUCGAGUUCACAUUUCAGAAUAAAAUUCAAUGACAACAAUAUGAUGUGAAGCACAUUCUUUCAAUUAAACUUUUAUAUGUUUGGUGAUGUUCAGAUAAGCAAGCACUGUUUUGAAAUGAUGACUGUUGUAGCAUUUCUAGUUUCUCACUGCAUUAAAAUUUGAUUUGUAGUAACAUACA